rnacentral:rRNA from 1 species
GAUGAACGCUGGCGGCGUGCCUAAUACAUGCAAGUCGAGCGAACAGACGAGGAGCUUGCUCCUUUGACGUUAGCGGCGGACGGGUGAGUAACACGUGGAUAACCUACCUAUAAGACUGGGAUAACUUCGGGAAACCGGAUCUAAUACCGGAUAAUAUAUUGAACCGCAUGGUUCAAUAGUGAAAGACGGCUUUGCUGUCACUUAUAGAUGGAUCCGCGCCGCAUUAGCUAGUUGGUAAGGUAACGGCUUACCAAGGCAACGAUGCGUAGGCGACCUGAGAGGGUGGUCGGCCACCCUGGAACUGGAACGCGGUCCAGACUCCUACGGGAGGCAGCAGUCGGGAAUCUUCCGCAGUGGGCGAAAACCUGACGGAGCAGCGCCGCGUGAGUGAUGACGGUCUUCCGAUCGUAAAGCUCUGUUAUUGGGGAAGAACAAAUGUGUAAGUAACUAUGCACGUCUUGACGGUACCUAAUCAGAAAGCCACGGCUAACUACGUG